CCUACGGGAGGCAGCAGUGAGGAAUAUUGGUCAAUGGACGAGAGUCUGAACCAGCCAAGUAGCGUGAAGGAUGACUGCCCUAUGGGUUGUAAACUUCUUUUAUAUGGGAAUAAAAUGUUCCACGUGUGGGGUUUUGUAUGUACCAUAUGAAUAAGGAUCGGCUAACUCCGUGCCAGCAGCCGCGGUAAUACGGAGGACCCGAGCGUUAUCCGGAUUUAUUGGGUUUAAAGGGUGCGUAGGUGGAGUGGUAAGUCAGUUGUGAAAAUUUGCGGCUCAACCGGAAAAGUGCAGUUGAAACUGGCAGUCUUGAGUACAGUAGAGGUGGGCGGAAUUCGUGGUGUAGCGGUGAAAUGCAUAGAUAUCACGAAGAACUCCGAUUGCGAAGGCAGCUCACUGGACUGCAACUGACGCUGAGGCUCGAAAGUGUGGGUAUCAAACAGGAUUAGAUACCCGAGUAGUC
rnacentral:rRNA from 1 species